UACGAAGGGGGCUAGCGUUGCUCGGAAUCACUGGGCGUAAAGCGCACGUAGGCGGAUUGUUAAGUCAGGGGGUGAAAUCCUGGAGCUCAACUCCAGAACUGCCUUUGAUACUGAGAAGCUUGAGUCCGGGAGAGGUGAGUGGAACUGCGAGUGUAGAGGUGAAAUUCGUAGAUAUUCGCAAGAACACCAGUGGCGAAGGCGGCUCACUGGCCCGGUACUGACGCUGAGGUGCGAAAACGUGGGGAGCAAACAGG
rnacentral:rRNA from 1 species